AUCCAGCUGACGAGUCCUAAAUAGGACGAAACGCACGUCGUGGAU
rnacentral:hammerhead_ribozyme from 1 species